ensembl:lncRNA
UGUGUGUGUGUGUGUGUGUGUGUGUGUGUGUGUGUGUGUGUGUGUGUGUGUGUGUGUGUGUGUGUUUGUUUUGGCAGCUGGUGUUGAUCUGGUAGCUGUUGAAAAUUGAGUAGAACCCAUCAGAUGUCCUGAUUAAUUGAGAGGUGCGGAGAGACGACGGACAGACAGACGCUCCCUUAACGGGAUUCCACAGCUUCAUCAAUAGGUUUGAUUGGAAAGUGAAGAGUACUUGGGCUGAUUUAUAGCUCAUACGGAGGCUAGUUUGCUAGCGGUGAUAAUCAAAGUGAUCAGGGCAUUCAGAAAGUGAUCAACUAGGUAGAGUUGGGUGGAAGACAGUUGAUAUGUUGCUGUUAUAUUUUUUAUGUCAAAAUGAUACAUUUGUAUAUUUCUAUGGUGUUUUAUUUAAUAUGCUGUAGUUAUAUUACUUAUAUUGAGAAGUUUUGAUAUGUUGUCUAGUUGUAUUACAAAUAUUGAGGAAGAGAGAGAAAGAGAGAUAGACGGAGAGAGAAAGGAGAGAGAGUAAGGAAGAGAGAGACAGGGAGAGAGAGACGGAGACAGAAAGGAGAGUGUAAGGAAGAGAGAGACAGGGAGAGAGAAAGGAGAGAGAAGAAAGGAGAGAGAGACAGGGAGAGAGAGACGGAGAGAGAAAGGAGAGAGAGUAAGGAAGAGAGAGACAGGGAGAGAGAAAGGAGAGAGAGUAAGGAAGAGAGAGAAAGGAGAGAGAGAAAGGAAGAGAGAGACAGAAAGAGAUAGACGGAGAGAGAAAGGAGAGAGAGACAGGGAGAGAGAAAGGAGAGAGAGACAGGGAGAGAGUAAGGAAGAGAGAGACAGAAAGAGAGAGACGGAGAGAGAAAGGAGAGAGAGACGGAGAGAGACAGGGAGAGAGAGACAGAAAGAGAUAGACGGAGAGAGAAAGGAGAGAGAGUAAGGAAGAGAUAGACGGAGAGAGAAAGGAGAGAGAGAGAACUUUGUGAUGUCUUUCCUCCCCAGACUAUGGCUUCUCGACCUGAACUAGAGGACCAGAAAUCCACAGGAUCCACAGAGAAGCACAAAGAUGAUCAACUCAGUGAGAACUCAGAGACAGAAGAGAAGGCUUUUUCCAUGGCGCCGGCCCAUUCCACUGUGGCCCUGGUAGAGACGGGG